UACGAAGGGGGCUAGCGUUGCUCGGAAUCACUGGGCGUAAAGCGCACGUAGGCGGCUUACUAAGUCAGGGGUGAAAUCCUGGAGCUCAACUCCUAGAACUGCCUUUGAUACUGGUGAGCUUGAGUCCGGAAGAGGUGAGUGGAACUGCGAGUGUAGAGGUGAAAUUCGUAGAUAUUCGCAAGAACACCAGUGGCGAAGGCGGCUCACUGGUCCGGUACUGACGCUGAGGUGCGAAAGCGUGGGGAGCAAACAGG
rnacentral:rRNA from 1 species